CAAUGGCUCACUGGUAGAGCAUUUGCUUUGCACACAGAAGGUCCCAGGUUCAGUCCCUGACACUUUCAGGU
rnacentral:tRNA from 1 species